CGGUUUUAAGAUCAGACAAAAUACAAAGUAGUUUACUAAAGCAGUUCUCAUUUCAGGUGUUGUAUAUUUAUCCCUUCUUUGAGUCUCUCCACUAAGCGCUAAGUAGUUUCUGUAAUAAAACCAUGUUCGCCGGAAGGCCAAAUUAAGGAAUGAAAAUGUCAAAUAAAAUGACUGGUUUAGUAAAAUGGUUUAAUGCUGAUAAGGGAUUCGGUUUUAUCUCUCCUGCAGAUGGUAGUAAAGAUGUGUUUGUUCAUUUCUCUGCUAUCCAGAGCGAUAAUUUCCGCACCUUGUUUGAAGGCCAAAAAGUCUCAUUCUCCAUUGAGAAUGGUGCUAAAGGUCCGGUUGCCGGCAGUGUAGUUA
rnacentral:sRNA from 1 species